CUCCCCCGUCCGUCUGCAGGCACAGACCCGCACAGAGGCGUGGGCGUGGCCUCUAUGGCCGUGGGCGUGGCCUCUAUGGCCGUGGGCGUGGCCUCUAUGAGUGUGGGCGUGGCGUCUGUGGGCGGGGCGUGCGUGUGGGCGGGGCGCCCUCCUUGAUUGCUUCCCUGAGUUUCUAAGCACAGUUGAGAUCCUUAGGGAGGCUGACAAUGGUCCCUGCCCCCCGGGAUCACAGGAUCAGUUGGGCGGUGACCCCGCUCUGUGUGUGCUCACAGUGGCUCGUGUCCGCCAUGACCUCCUCCCAGCGCUUGGAGGACCAGGGCUUACCGGGUGAGGAGCUGGCUGACACGUUGGUUCAGUUGUGAGACCUGUGGCAAGAACGCGGCCAACCACCAGCCCUCCGACCUAAGGACCUCUGGAACUCCUGGGCUCACGUGGAACCGGGAACCUGAGGAUUCCAUUUAAUGAGAAGCUGUGUGACCCACCCGACCCUCUGGGCCAGGCCCACAAACACAGCCUCUCCGAAACUGCUGCGGGCUCCCAGGCCAGCGGUGUCUCUCUCCCUUCUGCCUAUCACAGGAUAAUUCACUUCUCUCGCAACUGUCACCAGUCCUGUGCGAGCAUCAAGGUUCUUCAACUGUGUCCAUUACGACCUUUCAGAUUCGUCUCUAGAACGGCGAAGGCGGAGGUGGUGGGAGGAGACCCAGUACGCCUUAAAGGGGAUGGAAAUAGGACAUUAGGUCCACAAAACCCGAAAAACCCUUCUUCCGGAUGAGUAAGAAGUGUUAUAGGUACCGCUCCACAGAUUUCUUCUUAACACCUUAGUGUACCUAGACGUUGAUUCCCCCGCCAGACAGUUGUUGAGUCUCUAUGUAUCGGAAACGAAGAUGCGUUAGCCAGAGUCCCCGGUGGAUGCUCACAGCUUCACGGGAGGCAGGGAUGUGAGUAACUAAGUAACAAUCAGCCGUAAAGACACGCACACACGGGACUCGGCCUGGGGUGCGUGAGGGCUGCACAGACAGAGCGUCUCAGGCUGAGAAGCUUAGCCGGGCGUCCACGGAGAAAUGGAAGGAGGCUUUCAGGCUGUGAGGACAAUGCGCUCCAAGGUGGACAGGACAUUCGACGUGUCGGGAACGGCGCGCCUGGGGCUGGGUGGCGGGGCGGGGAGUGGCCAGGUUCUGAUGGCUGCUCCGUCGCCUGCAUCGGCCGCAGGCUGAAGGGAGCCACGCAGGUGCAGAGCAGGUGGGCGCUUUGGAGAAGAGGAGCGGGGAGCGUGCAGGCGGUGAGAUUAGAGCCGAUGAGGGAAAAAGAGAAUAAAGAGCGAUUUACAGGCAGAAAUCAAAGGCUCUGAACUUUCCGGAUCUUUUGGACGAACCCGAAGAAAGAGUUGAGAAGAACGCCAGGUUUCUGUUGUGAGAGACCAGAUCCCCGAAGAUGAAGUCACGUGACACGGGGAUUCAAAAGGAGCUGUUGGCUUGCGGUGGUGACAGUGGAUGGAAAAGGCGAGUCUGUCUGUGGGUGGGCCUCGCCUGUGACGCCCACGAGGCCUUCGAAACACAGUUCUGGCGACGUGAGCAGGUGUCAGCGGUGACCGUGGGGUGUGUGCAGCCCUGUACGUAGCUGACAGCAUCACAGACCGAAGUUCUCAAGGUCAAGUUCGGAGCAUAUUCAGCCUCCAUAAGACCUCAGGCAGCGGGGUUCUGAAUAAAUGCUUAUUGACUAAAUAGA